UGGUGGAGUGAUUUGUCUGGUUAACUCCGUUAACGAACGAGACCUUAGCCUGCUAAAUAGUUACGUGUAACUUCGGUUAUGCGGGCAACUUCUUAGAGGGACUUUGUGUGUCUAACGCAAGGAAGUUUGAGGCAAUAACA
rnacentral:rRNA from 1 species